rnacentral:misc_RNA from 1 species
CCAUUCAGUGUACCGACGACCGUAGUCUCGAUAGGACUUCACCAUCUUUUGUGAGGUGGGUCUUCCAUCUCGUAAACACGCGUGUGUAUGUAUCGUAUUCGAAUUGCCUCCGAAUCUUUCUUUCUGAUAUUUUCUGUGCUAUCACCUAUGUAUACGAUCACGAACGUAAUCUUUUGCACGCGUCGAUUAUUAAUAGCCAAAACACAUAGUGCCAUUGGGUCACGAGCGUAAUCGUCAACCGCUAUCUCAUAAUUUAGUUUCAACUUUUCUCGCCAACUCGCAGUUUGAAAUAUGACAGACUGAACGAUCGAUCACCAAAGUCGUAGAGAAGUCACGCGGACAGCUUGAUAAGCGAAAGCAAUUCAAGUUGAAUUAACACAACAUAAUAACACGCACAUAAAAUACGGUACAUACAGUGCCAACAUGACGUAUUUGCGCACGAUCGGAGAAGUGAUCGGCUUCCUGCUGGUUUGCGCCGUCGUGAUCGUGAAGGAUAUUGUCAAAUUUUUCAUCCCCAAGAGAUAUAAGAUGAAGAGUAUAAAUGGUGAGAUCGCCCUCGUAACGGGGGGUGGCGGUGGAUUGGGCAGGCUUCUCUCCCUUAGGCUGGCUAAUUUGGGCGCCAUCGUUGUCGUUUGGGAUAUAAACGAAGCCGGCAUCGAAGAAACUGUUAAACUCGUCCGGGCGGCCGGAGGUUCAUGUUACGGCUAUGUCUGUGAUUUGUGCGAUCGAGAAGAUAUAUACAAGAAAGCUAGAAUCAUCAAAGAAGAGAUCGGCAAGGUGACAAUUCUCAUUAACAAUGCGGGCAUUGUUACGGGAAUGAAAUUUCUCGAUACGCCGGACAAACUUAUCAUUAGAACGAUGGACGUUAACGUCAUGAGCCAUUUUUGGACCGCAAAGGCAUUUCUUCCAACGAUGUUGGAAAAUAAGAAGGGGCAUAUCGUGAGCGUGGCUAGUUUGGCCGGUCAAGUUGGAAUUCAGAAAUUAGUGGACUAUUGCACAUCCAAGUUUGCGGCGAUGGGAUUCGACGAGGCGCUUCGAAUGGAACUUGAGAAUGAAGAAUGCAAUAUUCACACAACAGUCGUGUGCCCCUACUUCAUCCGUAGCACCGGCAUGUUCGAUGACGUUCGAGCGAGCUAUAUCCCGACUCUGAGUCCAAACGUCGUGGCUGAUAGAAUCGUAACGGCAAUGAGAUGCAACGAGAAGUAUGCCAUCAUACCGGGUUACUUGCAAAUUCUAUUGGCUCUGAAAUGGUUAUUUCCGUGGCCGUGCGUGGCGAUGUUUCUCCGUGGAUUGGUCCAGGAUGCUUCUCCGAGUCACCCAUCAUUUGUAACUGCAGCUACAAUUAACACAAAGGAAAUGUGCACUGUACCAUUAUCCAAGGAUCAGAACGGCGCCGUCAUUCAUCAACAAUUAACCAGACGUGUCUCCAGCUCUGAAAGAAAGCCUUGAAAUUCCUCGUUCUGUCCUGAUCUCAAUAUCGGUUUGGAAUGUCCUUUAUCACUUUCGAAAGUGCCUCCGCUAUCUGGCCAACCGAUAUUGGCCUUUAAUUUUUUAGAUUUUUAUCUUUCAGAUUACUUUGACGGACGAGAAAUAAGAAUGUAAUGCAGAUAUCGGAAACAUAUACGGUGAUUUUGUGGCGAUUACACUGAUGAAAUAUUUCGAAAUCAUGUCCCGGUCCGUCGCGGAGCGUCUUAUAUACCGUCUAUAAUACCGCAUAAAAUUGAGACGAGCUUCUUCACGAAACGAUGGGUUUGUUUUAAUUCUGUCCAAGAUUAGGAGGACCUGUAACGCAAGAUUAUUAAUAUAUAAUAAGAUCGACAAAAUUAAAAUUAUUUAUCAAUGUAUGACAAAAAAGAACUAAGAGCCGUAGCCAAAUGUACAUGUCGAAAAAAUUAAAUAUUUAUUAUAAUGUUUUGGUCUGACGUCAGACCAUCUUCAGUGAGACUACAAUUGAGAUUAAGCGCUAUAAUAUAAUAAUCGUUGUUAAGUGAAGUUUAAGAAGUUUGACAAAAUUAUUUAUAUAUACAUAUGUAUUGCCGUAAUCUUGUAACACUAAAAAUGGAUAUAAAACACGAAAACAACAGAUACGACGCACAACUACAAAUUGUCAGAUAUUUCAAGAUGGACCGACGCGAAAGAUGUGAUACCGAACUUGUAAAUGACGUCAGUGUUUUUUAUAGGUAUAAGAAUAAUUUUAGAAUGUCUACAAUUUGAUACUGACAUAAAAUUGAAGAAGUGUGUUUAUAUCGUAUUAACUGAAACUGACGGUCCUAUAGAAUUUAUAAAGAUUUUAUCCAUUAUUUUCUAUAUAUGUAAGAGAUAUUUAUAUCAUAAAAAUGAUGGGCAUUAUAUUGUAUGCCCAGAGUAUCAACAUAUGAUGUAUAAUAAAAAUUGUUUAAGUUUCAAUUUUCCAAA